GGUUGUCGUCAGCUCGUGCCGUGAGGUGUUGGUUAAGUCCGCAACGAGCGCAACCUCAUUGUUAGUUACUACCAUUCAGUUGAGGACUCUAAUGAGACUGCCAACGACAAGUUGGAGGAAGGUGGGGGAUGACGUCAAAUCAUCAUGCCCUUUAUGACCUGGGCUACAAACGUACUACAAUGGCCAAUACAAAGAGAUGCGAAGCGGUGACGUGGAGCGAACCUCAGAAAGUUGGUCUCAGUUCAGAUUGAAGUCUGCAACUCGACUUCAUGAAGGCGGAAUCGCUAGUAAUCGCGGGUCAGCAGACCGCGGUGAAUACGUUCCCGGGUUUU
rnacentral:rRNA from 1 species